GUUGUUGUGGCCGAGUGGUUAAGGCUAUGGACUUGAAAUCCUUUUUGGUUUCUCUGCAAAUGUUCAAAUCCUGCCAAUAAUG
rnacentral:tRNA from 1 species